rnacentral:rRNA from 1 species
GCUUGUCUCAAAGAUUAAGCCAUGCAUGUCUAAGUAUAAAUAACUACACAGUAAAACUGCGAAUGGCUCAUUAUAUCAGUUAUAGUUUAUUUGAUGGUUCUUGCUACUUGGAUAACCGUAGUAAUUCUAGAGCUAAUACAUGCAUCAAACCCCGACUCACGAAGGGGUGUAUUUAUUAGAUGGAAACCAAUGCGGGGCAACCCGGAUUAUGGUGAUUCAUAAUAACUUUCAGAUCGAUCGCAAGAUCGAUGCAUCAUUCAAGUUUCUGCCCUAUCAGCUUUGGAUGGUAGGGUAUUGGCCUACCAUGGCUUUAACGGGUAACGGAGAAUUAGGGUUCGAUUCCGGAGAGGGAGCCUGAGAAACGGCUACCACAUCCAAGGAAGGCAGCAGG